GCAGGUAAGAUAGAGGGGGCUUUGAGAUUUGCUUUGGUUCCGUCCAGCACCUUUUCCCCAUAUUACCGUGUGAAGGAAUCAAUUCCUGGUAAAUCCUUACUCGCACCUACAGUCCAUACCUCUUUCACUUCACUGAGAGUUCAGUUGUAGGAGGGUGUUGUGUUCCCUCUUCAUAGAGGUGUGUGUAACAACGAUAAACAGCUGCCUCUGAGAACCAAUCUAGGCAACCAUAGACAUAAACCCCCUAGACAAUACAAAAACGAAACAAACCACCCUUGUCACACCCUGACCUAAUCAAAAUGAUAAAGAAAGCAAAGAGAACUAAGGUCAGGGCGUGACAGUGACAUUAGCUGUCUGACUUCAUUAGCAAGCCAAUUUUCACACCAUAAACUCAAUUAUUUGAUCAGAUGAGUUGGCUAAUGUUGCUCAACAUUACUUGUUCUGCCACACUUUCUCCCUCACCUCAAACUUUCCAAAUGCCUGUUUUUCAGUUACAGCUCAUGAAGUACACUUCAUCCCCGUGGUCAUCAGGCUUCUCACCUAACAUUACCUCUGUUUUCGUUCAGGGGAUGUGUUGCUGUAACUGCGGUCUUUCCAGAGCACGUGCGGAUGCUGUAACCAGAGUUGCCAGCGCCUCAGUAAGGAAAGUAGCUAUUGGCUGUCCUAAAAGUCGCAAAAUGAUGUCAUCACCGAAAUUCCAUGUGCAUGUAAUUGUGAUGGACGCUGUAGGAGAGGAAUAACGUUGUGGGAAAGACAGUGAAAAAACCACCUAAAUAUGUUUAGAACUACAAAUGAACUCUUCUGUCGAUUCUCUUUUUUUAUGUCACAAUUCUAACCCUCCUUUAUCCGGACUUGGGACUGGCAAAAGUGACCCAAAAGAGACACUCUGGCGGAGGUAUUUAGUUAAUUAUUUAUUUUAGUUUGGUUUUUAACCUUAUGCUCCACUUUGGAGCCUACAACAAGUUACAGUAAAACAUGAACAUUUAUAACCAUACAAUUAUUGUUAUUUUUAUACAUACAAUCUACAUUGCCAUUGCUGGUCCAUUUAGAUUGUUCAUGUGAGAAUUAUGGUAACUAGUCUGGCCCUAAUUCAGGUGAAGUAGUUUUUUUCCAGACCCCCCCCUCCACACACACAGGCUGUACUGGCUCACAGAAAGAGUGGGUCAUCGUCUUUUUGGACAAGGCUCUCUAUGGAAGGUUCAGCAACUGAGGGAGCUGACGUAAAUGAGUAAGCAGCUGAUGAGCCAAAAAGAUGCAAAACAUUAUCAGGCAGCGGGUGCUCAUAGCCUCACCAGACAGCUUCAGUCCAUAUCGAAUGUACAGGAUGGAGUUAAGGGUCUGCAAGGACAUCCGAUUUCUAAGUUUGCUUUUUUUACCACACUAAUCUGGCUGAAUACUCUCUGGACUUCAGCAUUCGAGUGUGGCAAGGACAUCAGACACAGCAGCCAUGGCAAGUCCUUGAAACGGGUUGAUAUCAGCUGCAUCCCUGAACGUCCAAAUCUCACUCCAGAAGCUCUGUUUUGUUUUUUGUCUCAUUCCAUUUACUAAGAUGGAUGGCACGCUAUUGCUGGGGAUUCUUGUCUAUCUCUGCAGGGGAGUAGCAAAGGAGCUUGGCUAUGUUUUCUAUUUCUCCAGGGCUCUUAUUGUGCUUUAGAGUUUCCUCCACAUUGAAAACUGACAUGUACUCUUCGAUGUUGUGUGGCAGUCUCACCCUCAACUCAUUAGUGAGGGAGAUGGUGAAGGCUACAUACCACUUUCUGACAUUGUUUUCAUCCUCAGGCACAAGGUGGAGCUCAGCUGCCUUUGAACUCAUAAAGGUAACCAAGGUACGGUUUGGGACUGAUGUGUCCAUCUAUUGGCUCUUUGAGUACAUCAACAUUUGCCAGUGGAUUCAGCACCCUGCUGGUCACAGACUUGAUCAGGCUGACCAAGCUGUCAAGAAGCUUAAGAGGAUCUACUUGCUCUCACCCAGCACUACUGUACCUCACCCAGCACUACUGUACCUCACUGAUAGACUGUCUGAGCUUGGUGCCGACCUGACUAGAGAUUUGGGAGAGAACUGGGAGUACAUCUCAAGGACAAGGUCACCAUCUCUGUCGGCUGGGUAGUGAGACAGACCGUGUGUGCGCAGCAGGACGUUUGUGUGUGAAGUCAGUAUAAAAUGAAUUGUAUUCUUUACUUUGAACAUUCCGUAAAUAAACAUUUAACUACUUUA